rnacentral:lncRNA from 1 species
UUAGAGUUAAACAUGCAAAUGGAUGCAGGUUGGUAGAGCUUUCGCGCUGAUCCGUCCCGAAUGGGACGGUAAGUGGGAAUAAAAAAUAUAAAAAAAUAUAAUCUGUCUCGAUCUGCCAAGUAAAUGAAGCGAGAGGCGGGAGAUUCUUUUCUUCUUUCAAUCCGUCCCGCUCCGUAAAAAAUCUGCUCCCACUUUGAUCCGGCCUGAAUGGGACAGUAAGUGAGAGUUAAAAAUAAAAUAAAAAAUAAUCCGUUUCGAAUCCGCCCUGCUCUAAUAAGAAAUGAAACGUGAGGUGAGGGAAUCCUCCCACCCUCGAAUCCAACCCGUUUGCAUCCCUAAUUAGAGUGGAG